rnacentral:rRNA from 1 species
AUUGAACGCUGGCGGCAGGCUUAACACAUGCAAGUCGAGCGGAGAUGAGGUGCUUGCACCUUAUCUUAGCGGCGGACGGGUGAGUAAUGCUUAGGAAUCUGCCUAUUAGUGGGGGACAACAUUCCGAAAGGAAUGCUAAUACCGCAUACGUCCUACGGGAGAAAGCAGGGGAUCUUCGGACCUUGCGCUAAUAGAUGAGCCUAAGUCGGAUUAGCUAGUUGGUGGGGUAAAGGCCUACCAAGGCGACGAUCUGUAGCGGGUCUGAGAGGAUGGUCCGACACACUGGGACGGCGACACGGCACAGACUGCUUCGGGAGGCAGCAGUGGGGAAUAUUGGACAAUGGGGGGAACCCUUAUCCAGCCAUGCCGCGUGUGUGAAGAAGGCCUUAUGGUUGUAAAGCACUUUAAGCGAGGAGGAGGCUACUGAGACUAAUACUCUUGGAUAGUGGACGUUACUCGCAGAAUAAGCACCGGCUAACUCUGUGCCAGCAGCCGCGGUAA